GCGGAGGAAAAGAAACCAACAGGGAUUGCCCUAGUAACGGCGAGUGAAGCGGCAACAGCUCAAAUUUGAAAUCUGGCGUCUUCGGCGUCCGAGUUGUAAUUUGCAGAGGGCGCUUUGGCAUUGGCAGCGGUCCAAGUUCCUUGGAACAGGACGUCACAGAGGGUGAGAAUCCCGUACGUGGUCGCUAGCCUUUACCGUGUAAAGCCCCUUCGACGAGUCGAGUUGUUUGGGAAUGCAGCUCUAAAUGGGAGGUAAAUUUCUUCUAAAGCUAAAUACUGGCCAGAGACCGAUAGCGCACAAGUAGAGUGAUCGAAAGAUGAAAAGCACUUUGGAAAGAGAGUUAAAAAGCACGUGAAAUUGUUGAAAGGGAAGCGCUUGCAGCCAGACUUGCCUGUAGUUGCUCAUCCGGGUUUCUACCCGGUGCACUCUUCUAUAGGCAGGCCAGCAUCAGUUUGGGCGGUUGGAUAAAGGUCUCUGUCAUGUACCUCUCUUCGGGGAGAACUUAUAGGGGAGACGACAUGCAACCAGCCUGGACUGAGGUCCGCGCAUCUGCUAGGAUGCUGGCGUAAUGGCUGUAAGCGGCCCGUCUUGAAACACGGACCAAGGAGUCUAACAUCUAUGCGAGUGUUUGGGUGUCAAGCCCGAGCGCGUAAUGAAAGUGAACGGAGGUGGGAACCUUUCGGGGUGCACCAUCGACCGAUCCUGAUGUCUUCGGAUGGAUUUGAGUAAGAGCAUAGCUGUUGGGACCCGAAAGAUGGUGAACUAUGCUUGAAUAGGGUGAAGCCAGAGGAAACUCUGGUGGAGGCUCGCAGCGGUUCUGACGUGCAAAUCGAUCGUCAAAU
rnacentral:sRNA from 2 species